rnacentral:rRNA from 1 species
GACGAACGCUGGCGGCGUGCUUAACACAUGCAAGUCGAGCGGUAAGGCCCUUUCGGGGGUACACGAGCGGCGAACGGGUGAGUAACACGUGGGUGACCUGCCCUCAGCUCUGGGAUAAGCCUGGGAAACUGGGUCUAAUACUGGAUAUGACUCCACGGUGCAUGUCGUGGGGUGGAAAGCCUUGUGCGGCUGAGGAUGGGCCCGCGGCCUAUCAGCUUGGUUGGUGGGGUGANGGCCUACCAAGGCGACGACGGGUAGCCGGCCUGAGAGGGCGACCGGCCACACUGGGACUGAGACACGGCCCAGACUCCUACGGGAGGCAGCAGUGGGGAAUCUUGCGCAAUGGGCGAAAGCCUGACGCAGCGACGCCGCGUGAGGGAUGACGGCCUGGU